UUCUAUGAUAAAAAAUAAAUUUAAAUUGCCUCUUAUUUUAAAGAGAGUCUACAAAAUUUAAUUUUAAAAUAACCAUAGGAUUGCAGUCAACAGGGGAAAUAUCUUUUCUCAAAGGUACUGACCUCAAAAUUCUGGACCAAGAAGGCUCUUACAAUGCAGUUAGUUUUUUGUCAUAUUUGAAGAGAAUAUACUCACAGUUUCUCGGUCUGACUGUAUGCUUUCCAUCCAUUUCCAUCAAUGUAAGAAAUAUACUUUCCUUGGAAAUUUCUGUGAAGAAACACAGUUUAUAUCAUUGAAUAGGUAGGAAAAGAAUGGACAGGAGAAGUAAAAGAAUCCUGGCAACCUUGUCGGGGAUAUUCGGUUACAGAAAAUAACACCUGCUUUCUCAUUUCCGGAGCUAUCAGCUUCCUAAUUUGCACAAUUCAUCAAGAAGUAAUGCGGGGCCACUGGCACAAAUGAUGAGGCAUCUCCCGGAAGCUUAAUUUCCUAUCCAUCCCAUCUCUUGGACAGACAUUCCAGUUGAUUACUUUGAAUGUUCCAGCUGGCCUGGGGAUUUCUGGGAGGAUCCAAAGAACAAGGCCGUCUGCAGUAGGAGCCUCCUCUUCCUCGCCGCCAACACUUCAGCCCUGCCCAACUAACAGCUCUCCAUGUUCUAAAGAAGGCAGGACUGCUGGGCCACCCCAGCCUUCUGGAACCCCAGUUCUGCGACAUUAUCCAUCUCCUGGAAAUAUGCUGGUUUUAACCAUGCAAAUUGGCGAAGCAUCAGGCGGAAAUAGCAGCUAGGCCUGGAAGGACAGGUGACAUCUGUGAGGAAAAUGGCCGGGCGGGACUGGGUGGAGAGCAUGGGCUGUUCCCUUCCUUUCUGGGAACAGCGCCACCUUUGGGGGAACUCCUUCCCUCAUGGGGUUUUAGGCGGGGGCUGCCAGUCCCAGGACCCUGCCCCCUGUCACCCCCCAUAGUCAUAGGAACGCUUGUGCGCCAGUCACUACAUUUAGAAGUGGAAGCUCGUGGGCUGCUGAGCUUCUAACGGGAAGUCCAUGUGUGCAGGGCCAGAGGACACGGCCCAUCUGAGGCGCUAAGCUUCUGUGAAGAGGGAGUAGAAUCUGGACAGGAUUCCAGUUCCACGGUUUACCCUUUCCGCGACCCAAACACACCCUUCCCCUUCCUUCAAUUCUGAGAAGCAAUAAAUGUCCCUACUUGCGAACAAA